rnacentral:antisense_RNA from 1 species
CUUCAACGACCCCAACCACAGCGGGCUGCCGGAACGGCCGCGCCCGUAGGUCGCCAGCAACGCCUGUGCCUC